rnacentral:rRNA from 1 species
UACGUAGGGUCCGAGCGUUGUCCGGAGUUACUGGGCGUAAAGCGCGCGCAGGCGGCCCGCGAGGUGUCACGUGAAAGCCCCCGGCUCAACUGGGGAGGGUCACGCGAUACUGAUCGACUCGAAGGCAGGAGAGGGUAGUGGAAUUCCCGGUGGUAGUGGUGAAAUGCGCAGAUAUCAGGAGGAACACCAAUGGCGAAGGCAGCACUCUGGGACGUGACUGACGCUGAGACGCGAAAGCGUGGGGAGCAAACAGG